AACUCAUGACCUGGCAUGGGAUAGGGGAGAGGCUAAUUCAUUCCCUAGUCCACACCUUAUCCUCACUUUUGGUACAAAGCACUGGCUGCAGUGAGUUUUCAGGACCCGUCUUAACUGUUCUACAGCUUGGCAGAGUGACUGAACGGAAGAACCCAGUUGGAUGAAAUCACUGCAUAUGGUCAUCUGAAGUAUAGUUUGUCUGAUGCUGGAAGAAUUCUUAGUUGACCCUGAAGUGGCCUCUUUGUCUGCCUGCUGUGCCCCUCAAAGAUGAGAAGCUUCUCUCUGACAGCUGGGAGAGCUGGACCCUGCAUUCUGGAAAGUAUUUAGGCAGUUCUCUGAGGUAACUAUGGCCACAUCGUGACAGGAGUCAAUCUCACUUCUGCUUCUGAUGAGCUGUGUGACCUUGGCCCUUCCCCUAGUACCAAGUAAUGAAUGAAGCAGAGCCUUCGAAGCCAGAAGGUCUAGACUGAAAGCACAGCUCGCCACCUGCUCACCAAUGAACCUGGGAAAGUUGCUUACCCUUUGGAAUCCUCAGCUUACUUCUCUGAAAGGCUUGCUUCUUGUUCCCAUCUACAUGGAUCCCAGCUUAAAUCUUGAUUCCUUCUGUUCCAUCCCAUUUUACACACUGUGGCCCCUCCAGCUUUGUAUAAUCACAUAGAGCAUCCUCACGUGCUGAGUCUGGACCACCUCAGAAUCAAGACAAGCCUUGACCCCACCACCUACACAAUGGCUCUAAAUCAGUGCGCUAAUGUACAAAAAACUAUCAUGAGGUACAAUCAAGAUGAUUAAUGCGAAAGGAAAGAGAGUCAUGUAAAUGCUAAAGUGACAAAUUAAUGC